rnacentral:rRNA from 1 species
UACGGAGGAUCCAAGCGUUUGUCCGGAUUUAUUGGGUUUAAAGGGUGCGUAGGCGGAUCUUUAAGUCAGUGGUGAAAGCCUGCAGCUUAACUGUAGAACAGCCAUUGAAACUGAAGAUCUUGAAUAUGGUUAAAGUAGGCGGAAUGUAUCAUGUAGCGGUGAAAUGCUUAGAUAUAAUACAGAACACCAUAAGCGAAGGCA